CCCGCGAUAGUCUAGUGGUGAGGAUAUCUGCUUGUCAUUGUAUUACGACGAUUCGCAGGGGACCGGGGUUCAAUUCCCCGUCGAGGAG
rnacentral:tRNA from 1 species